GAAGUCUUCCACAACUGGAAAGAAGAAUGGACAUCGUAAUUGUUUUUAUAGUUCGUUUCUUUGUUGAGAGCUGAGACCAUUGACAUGUGAAAGACAUCAUGCUGAUGUUCCCUCCUGGGCAAUUUGCAGGCUUUUGACGAGGCCAUCUCGGAACUGGACACCCUGAGCGAGGAGUCCUACAAGGACAGCACUUUGAUCAUGCAGCUCCUCCGUGAUAACUUGACCCUAUGGACUUCUGACAUCUCGGUAAGAUCCAUGUCCCUAAUACAAAGUUCUGUUCGCACUCUUGAAUUGGAUCUUCCUGAAAUCAACCUUUUCCUGAACAAUCGCAUUUCCCUAAUACUAACUUGACCCUAUGGCUGCAGGAGGACCCUGCUGAAGAGAUCAGGGAGGCACCCAAGCGUGACUCGAGCGAGGGGCAGUAAAGCCGGC
rnacentral:lncRNA from 1 species